GAUGAACGCUGGCGGCGUGCCUAAUACAUGCAAGUCGAGCGAACAGACGAGGCGCUUGCUCCUCUGACGUUAGCGGCGGACGGGUGAGUAACGCGUGGAUAACCUACCUAUAAGACUGGGAUAACUUCGGGAAACCGGCGCUUAUACCGGAUAAUAUAUUGCACCGCAUGGUUCAAUAGUGAGAGACGGUUUUGCUGUCACUUAUAGCUGGAUCGGCACCGCAUUAGCUAGUUGGUAAGGUAACGGCUUACCAAGGCGACGAUGCGUAGCCGACCCGAGAGGGUGAUCGGCCACACUGGAACUGAGACACGGUCCAGAGUCCUACGGGAGGCAGCAGUAGGGAAUCUUCCGCAAUGGGCGAAAGCCUGACGGAGCAACGCCGCGUGAGUGAUGAAGGUCUUCGGAUCGUAAAACUCUGUUAUGAGGGAAGAACAAAUGUGUAAGUAACUAUGCACGUCUUGACGGUACCUAAUCAAAAAGCCACGGCUAACUACGUG
rnacentral:rRNA from 1 species